rnacentral:tRNA from 1 species
AACUUUAUAUUCAAUAAUAAAUGAUAUUAAAAUGCAAUUUUAAAGUAGUAAUAAUUUACUAAAGUUU